UCGUAUUCAGUUUUCUGCGUUUAGUCAGUUGAAGCAGACACAAUGUCAAAAGUGAAUAUAACUAUAAAUAAGGAAAACGUGUGGGAUUAUUAUAAAUAUCCGCAGGCUAAGCUAGCACAGUGCAAGUUUUGUGAAUCAAGUUACGUCUAUUUAAAUUUUUGGCAAUUGAGAAGCCAUUUAUGUACUCAGCAUAAAGACGAUGUCGAAUCCAUAGUAUCCAAAAAGCGAAUGGAAACGCCGAAGAUAUAUUACGACGGAUUAAAGUCAGUUUGUUUAGUUUGUAAGAAGAAUGUUCUGUCUGAAAAAUUUUACGAUCACAUACAAUCAGAUUCUAUAACACACGUGGAUUAAAAGAUCACAUAUCAAAGAAACAUUCUAAAGAAGUGAAAAAAAAAUAUGAAUUAGACACAACGUCUAUGCCAAUGAAUGUCACAGAUAUAAGUAAACUAUUAUAAAAUUACAUAAUAUUGGAAAAUUUUGAAGCAAAUUUUGCAAUUCUCGAAAAUGUUAUAUCGACACUACAAACUUUAAUAAACAUAUAACGGAAAAUCAUGAAGAAGUUAUUUCAUACGAAGAAGAAAGAGAGGAAGAUAUCCGUUGAUGUAUUUCAAGUAUCAUGACGAAUGUAUCUCACAAUGUGUUCUUUGUCAAACCUUUUUUUUACCGUCUAAUUUGGAACAUUUAUUACUUUAUUUAAAUGGUUCGCAUUUUAACACACUCGCUUAUGACUAUAACGGCAGUAGUUGGGUAUGGAAAUACUGUAAAAAGGGUGAUGAUUUUGAUGUGCGAGUCUUUGCUUUAUCGAAAUAUCACUUGAUGCAAAAUUAUCGAAUUUAAACCAUCAUAUUGAAAUACAUCUGAACAAGCUAACAAAUAUUCGAAAAGCGUAUAACAUAGCUGGACCGUCAAGAAGCCAAACAAACUGAAGAAAAAAGAUGACAGUUUUUCCAAAGAUGAAUGGUGCUAUCGGCGAUCAUGUAGCACGACAAGCUGCGCAAAAAGCAAUCCCGACUUCAGCGAUUGGAACAAUCUAUGAUAUGCAAAGAAAAUAAUAUCUUUGACAUGUAAUUAUUCGUU